AUUGAACGCUGGCGGCAGGCCUAACACAUGCAAGUCGAGCGAGCGGCGGACGGGUGAGUAAUGUCUGGGGCUCUGCCCGCUCGAGGGGGAUCACUCCUGGACAGGGUGGCUACUACCGCAUCCUAUCGGCUGAACCAAUAUCGGAUUAUCUAGUAGGUGGGGUAGGCUCACCUAGGCGACGAUCUCUAGCUGGUCUGAGAGGAUGAUCAGCCACACUGUGACUGAGACACGGCCCAGACUCCUACGGGAGGCAGCAGUGGGGAAUAUUGCACAAUGGGCGCAAGCCUGAUGCAGCCAUGCCGCGUGUAUGAAGAAGGCCUUAGGGUUGUAAAGUACUUUCAGCGUGGAGGCGUUACCCGCAGAAGAAGCACCGGCUAACUCCGUGCCAGCAGCCGCGGUAAUAC
rnacentral:rRNA from 1 species